rnacentral:rRNA from 1 species
UGGGGAAUAUUGGGCAAUGGGCGCAAGCCUGACCCAGCAACGCCGCGUGAAGGAAGAAGGCUUUCGGGUUGUAAACUUCUUUUCUCAGGGACGAAGCAAGUGACGGUACCUGAGGAAUAAGCCACGGCUAACUACGUGCCAGCAGCCGCGGUAAUACGUAGGUGGCGAGCGUUAUCCGGAUUUACUGGGUGUAAAGGGCGUGUAGGCGGGGAAGCAAGUCAGAUGUGAAAACCACGGGCUCAACCUGUGGCCUGCAGUUGAAAACUGGUUUUUCCUUGAGUGAAGUAGAGGUUGGCGGAAUUCCGAGUGUAGCGGUGAAAUGCGUAGAUAUUCGGAGGAACACCGGUGGCGAAGGCGGCCAACUGGGCUUUAACUGACGCUGAGGCUCGAAAGUGUGGGGAGCAAACAGGAUUAGAUACCC